rnacentral:rRNA from 1 species
UACGUAGGGUGCAAGCGUUGUCCGGAAUUAUUGGGCGUAAAGAGCUCGUAGGCGGUCUGUUGCGUCCGCUGUGAAAACUCGGGGCUUAACCCCGAGCCUGCAGUGGAUACGGGCAGACUAGAGGUAGGUAGGGGAGAAUGGAAUUCCCGGUGUAGCGGUGAAAUGCGUAGAUAUCUGGAGGAACACCGGUGGCGAAGGCGGCAUCCUGGACCGACACUGACGCUGAGGAGCGAAAGCCAGGGGAGCAAACGGG